UCAACUGCAAUGGCACCAUCAAUGAUUUUCUCCACAGAUAUAUAGAUGUCAGUCAAAGCGCUGGAGUUCCCUGCAGGUGUUUCAACUUGACAACAAGUCUGGAACAAGCAAAGCAUAACAACAGGUUUCGUGAGAUGGUUCCUUCUGCCACCAAGCAUGUUCCUGUCAAUGACAUGGUGAUUCACAGCUACCGGAAAAAGUUUGUGGCUCCCAGUUUGUCUGAGGGCUUCUCUGAAAUCCUGCAGAUUCAUUUUGUGCCCAGUUUCAGUGACAAAAGAUCAGAGUUCCUCUUCAGGCAGUUCUCUUAGGGCUAAGCGUGAAGUUGAGC